rnacentral:rRNA from 1 species
GCUUGGUACUUAAAAGAAGUCAAAUAAUGCAGCUCAAACGUUCGAUCCUUUGGUCUAGUUUGAAACAACGUGACAACCCGAAGCCGUUCUUCACACCCUCGGCCAGCCUGCGUCAGGCGGGGUUCCAUUGGGCGACAUUCCGCCAGGUGGCCCACGGUAGGAGUCAGGUCGGGUUGUCAGAUGCAGGGUGAAGGAUCGUCCUGUCAGCCCACCUAGGUAUUGUUGCCCAGCAGAAACCUUGCCUCUCCAAGUAGCUAAUCCCACCCAGGCAGGUCGAAGGGGGGGAGGCCGUAAGGUCCCCAUCUUCGGUCCAUAGGCGUCAUCCCGUAUUAGCCAUUGGAUGCAACAAAGGUCCCCCACAUCAGGGCAAUUAGCUAGUCAUUUAAAACCCGUCUCAGUUUGGACGCUGGGAUGCAACUCGGAAGCAUCAAGCAGGUAGUUUCCGUUAUCGUGGAUCAGCAUGGGCGCUGGUGACACAGGUGUUCAAUGGUGAUGUGCACGAGCAUCCAGACACUCGU